rnacentral:rRNA from 1 species
UACGUAGGGUGCGAGCGUUAAUCGGAAUUACUGGGCGUAAAGCGUGCGCAGGCGGUUUUGCAAGCCGGAUGUGAAAUCCCCGGGCUCAACCUGGGAAUGGCAUUUGGGACUGCAAGGCUCGAGUGCGGCAGAGGAGACUGGAAUUCCUGGUGUAGCAGUGAAAUGCGUAGAUAUCAGGAGGAACACCGGUGGCGAAGGCGGUUCUCUGGGCCUUACCUGACGCUGAGGAGCGAAAGCGUGGGGAGCGAACAGG